rnacentral:lncRNA from 1 species
GCUACGUUUCUUUCCGCUGAGACUUGAGAGGCCAGGGAGCAGAGGCGGCCAGCCGAGUGGGCGAGAGCCCGGCCUGACGUGGGGAGGAGACGUCUUCUCGUCGGGAGGCUAGGUAGCGUGCGCCCUCUUCCCUCCCGUCCUCUCCCCGCGCCGCGCCGCGCCGGCCGCAGCCGGCAGGCUCGCUCCUCUGCCCGGUGUCUGUUUAACCCUCAACCCCUCCGCGGCAGCUGCGGGCAGAGGGAUUCCUGGCCGCGCUAAUCCUGGGGCUGGACCCCAACCCUGGUCGCCUGGAGCGCCCUUAGCCCUCCCGAACCUCGGGCCCGAAGGUCCCAGGGUGCCGGCACUCCCGCCACCCAAACGGGCCUGGGGGCCGUCAGGGGUCGACAGAAGGGGACCCUUGGCAAGGUCCCCAUUGUUCCCCCGGGGCUGGGAAGCUGACUCACGCUCUGAGCACAGAGCGAUGCGGAGUGUUUUCUCGGUAGCCUUUACCCGAGUGCUUUAUUUAGACAGGCUUUAUUUACAGUACACAUGUUUUCGGCUCGUUAUUCUGGAGGCGGGAAUGGAAACUGGGCAGAGCAGGAGUUCUCCCCGUCAGCCUCACGUUUGGAAGGAGUUGAGAGUCAGCCGAGUCGAAGGAUCCCGCUCCUGCUUGCUGUGUUCUCUAGGGAGAUAAUGUCGAAGAAAACAGUGAAGGGGUGGGAGUGGAGGGCGCUGGGGAACACAGAGCGUCAGCCUCUCCCAUAGUGCCCACGCUUCAAAAUGCAUAACACCCAGAGGAAGGUGAGACAUCCUCAUGCCCAUUUUAGAGGGUUCAGAGAGGGCAAGGGCCGCAGAAGGUCACACAGACAACAAUCGGUUGUGCGAAAAGGGUCUUUAACUCCAUUUCUUGGGCUUCCUCACGGGUUUAGACCUCCAGGAUUACCCAGGUCUUGGUCUCUCGGGAUUCCGGGAAGGGUCUUUCCUGGCGCCUCGAGUGGAGGUCAAGGCCAGCCAGGCGACUGGAAGGCCUCUGGUUGCCAGUCUGCAGUCAAGCAUCCUUUUUGGCAGCGGCUCAGUAAGUGGGGUGGUCUGGUUAGGGACUGCAGGAAAUUGUCUGAGCUAGAUUAAAUAUUUUACAAAACCUUCGGGGGGCCUACGGUUGACUUGAAGCUGGCAAUGUUAAACCAAACAAAAGUUAACGAGUUCUCUCCUGACUUUUUAGGUACAGUUCAGAGAAAACGGUGGGUAGCGCUCUUUAGAGGAAGCAAGUUUAAUAGCGUUUCCUCUCAUUUUUCUCCGUAUCAUUCUCUCUGCUGCUUGUAGAGCCUCAUAGCCUCUCUGGGGCUGGGGUGGCAGAAAGGCCUCUUCGGGGUCCCUCUUUGAAAGGGCUGCAGCCGACUUGAGCUCCUGCGGCCACUGAAUUCCAUGCUUCUGACUCCUGCUUGGAGUAAAGUGCAGC